rnacentral:rRNA from 1 species
AGUGAACGCUGGCGGUAGGCCUAACACAUGCAAGUCGAACGGCAGCACAGUAAGAGCUUGCUCUUACGGGUGGCGAGUGGCGGACGGGUGAGGAAUACAUCGGAAUCUACUUUUCGUGGGGGAUAACGUAGGGAAACUUACGCUAAUAACGCAUACGACCUACGGGUGAAAGCAGGGGAUCUUCGGACCUUGCGCGGUUGAAUGAGCCGAUGUCGGAUUAGCUAGUUGGCGGGGUAAAGGCCCACCAAGGCGACGAUCCGUAGCUGGUCUGAGAGGAUGAUCAGCCACACUGGAACUGAGACACGGUCCAGACUCCUACGGGAGGCAGCAGUGGGGAAUAUUGGACAAUGGGCGCAAGCCUGAUCCAGCCAUACCGCGUGGGUGAAGAAGGCCUUCGGGUUGUAAAGCCCUUUUGUUGGGAAAGAAAAGCAGCAGGUUAAUACCCCGCUGUUCUGACGGUACCCAAAGAAUAAGCACCGGCUAACUUCGUG